rnacentral:rRNA from 1 species
GACGAACGCUGGCGGCGUGCCUAAUACAUGCAAGUAGAACGCACAGUUUAUACCGUAGCUUGCUACACCAUAGACUGUGAGUUGCGAACGGGUGAGUAACGCGUAGGUAACCUGCCUGGUAGCGGGGGAUAACUAUUGGAAACGAUAGCUAAUACCGCAUAAUAUUGAUUAUUGCAUGAUAAUUGAUUGAAAGAUGCUAUUGCAUCACUACCAGAUGGACCUGCGUUGUAUUAGCUAGUAGGUGAGGUAACGGCUCACCUAGGCGACGAUACAUAGCCGACCUGAGAGGGUGAUCGGCCAAACUGGGAAUGAGACACGGCCCAGACUCCUACGGGAGGCAGCAGUAGGGAAUCUUCGGAAAUGGACGAAAGUCUGACCGAGCAACGCCGCGUGAGUGAAGAAGGUUCUCGGAUCGUAAAGCUCUGUUGUAAGAGAAGAAAGGGUGUGAGAGUGGAAAGUUCACACUGUGACGGUAUCUUACCAGAAAGGGACGGCUAACUACGUG